rnacentral:rRNA from 1 species
UGGGGAAUAUUGGACAAUGGGCGCAAGCCUGAUCCAGCAAUGCCGCGUGUGUGAAGAAGGCCUUCGGGUUGUAAAGCACUUUUAUCAGGAGCGAAAUACUAUCGGUUAAUAACCGGUGGGGCUGACGGUACCUGAGGAAUAAGCACCGGCUAACUUCGUGCCAGCAGCCGCGGUAAUACGAAGGGUGCAAGCGUUAAUCGGAAUUACUGGGCGUAAAGGGUGCGUAGGCGGUUAGUUAAGUCUGUUGUGAAAUCCCCGGGCUCAACCUGGGAAUGGCAAUGGAUACUGGCUAGCUAGAGUGUGUCAGAGGAUGGUGGAAUUCCCGGUGUAGCGGUGAAAUGCGUAGAGAUCGGGAGGAACAUCAGUGGCGAAGGCGGCCAUCUGGGACAACACUGACGCUGAAGCACGAAAGCGUGGGGAGCAAACA